rnacentral:rRNA from 1 species
UACGGGGGGGGGCAAGCGUUGUUCGGAAUUACUGGGCGUAAAGGGCUCGUAGGCGGCCAACUAAGUCGGAUGUGAAAUCCCCAGGCUCAACCUGGGAACUGCAUCCGAUACUGGAUGGCUUGAAUCCGGGAGAGGGAUGCAGAAUUCCAGGUGUAGCGGUGAAAUGCGUAGAUAUCUGGAGGAAUACCGGUGGCGAAGGCGGCAUCCUGGACCGGCAUUGACGCUGAGGAGCGAAAGCCAGGGGAGCAAAGCGGG